UGGGGAAUCUUGGACAAUGGGCGAAAGCCUGACCCAGCAACGCCGCGUGAAGGAUGAAGUAUUUCGGUAUGUAAACUUCGAAAGAAUAGGAAGAAUAAAUGACGGUACUAUUUAUAAGGUCCGGCUAACUACGUGCCAGCAGCCGCGGUAAUACGUAGGGACCAAGCGUUGUUCGGAUUUACUGGGCGUAAAGGGCGCGUAGGCGGCAAUUCAAGUCAUCUGUGAAAUCUCCGGGCUUAACUCGGAACGGUCAGAUGAUACUGCUUUGCUAGAGUGCAGAAGGGGCAAUCGGAGUUCUUGGUGUAGCGGUGAAAUGCGUAGAUAUCAAGAGGAACACCUGAGGUGAAGACGGGUUGCUGGGCUGAUACUGACGCUGAGGCGCGAAAGCUAGGGUAGCAAACGGGAUUAGAUACCCCGGUAGUCCCUGAGCGGGCUGGCAAGGCGCAU
rnacentral:rRNA from 1 species